rnacentral:rRNA from 1 species
ACGCUGGCGGCGUGCCUAAUACAUGCAAGUAGAACGCUGAAGGAGGAGCUUGCUUCUCUGGAUGAGUUGCGAACGGGUGAGUAACGCGUAGGUAACCUGCCUGGUAGCGGGGGAUAACUAUUGGAAACGAUAGCUAAUACCGCAUAAGAGUAGAUGUUGCAUGACAUUUGCUUAAAAGGUGCAAUUGCAUCACUACCAGAUGGACCUGCGUUGUAUUAGCUAGUUGGUGGGGUAACGGCUCACCAAGGCGACGAUACAUAGCCGACCUGAGAGGGUGAUCGGCCACACUGGGACUGAGACACGGCCCAGACUCCUACGUGAGGCAGCAGUAGGGAAUCUUCGGCAAUGGACGGAAGUCUGACCGAGCAACGCCGCGUGAGUGAAGAAGGUUUUCGGAUCGUAAAGCUCUGUUGUAAGAGAAGAACGAGUGUGAGAGUGGAAAGUUCACACUGUGACGGUAUCUUACCAGAAAGGGACGGCUAACUACGUGCCAGCAGCCGCGGUAAUACGUAGGUCCCGAGCGUUGUCCGGAUUUAUUGGGCGUAAAGCGAGCGCAGGCGGUUAGAUAAGUCUGAAGUUAAAGGCUGUGGCUUAACCAUAGUACGCUUUGGAAACUGUUUAACUUGAGUGCAAGAGGGGAGAGUGGAAUUCCAUGUGUAGCGGUGAAAUGCGUAGAUAUAUGGAGGAACACCGGUGGCGAAAGCGGCUCUCUGGCUUGUAACUGACGCUGAGGCUCGAAAGCGUGGGGAGCAAACAGGAUUAGAUACCCUGGUAGUCCACGCCGUAAACGAUGAGUGCUAGGUGUUAGACCCUUUCCGGGGUUUAGUGCCGUAGCUAACGCAUUAAGCACUCCGCCUGGGGAGUACGACCGCAAGGUUGAAACUCAAAGGAAUUGACGGGGGCCCGCAC